UAAUUUAAAAUGGGUUGGCCAGAAAGUUCAUUCAGGUCCUUCCCUAACAUCUUACAAAAAAACCUGAAUGAACUUUUUGGCCAACAAGAUUUAAUUG
rnacentral:miRNA from 1 species